GACGAACGCUGGCGGCGUGCCUAAUACAUGCAAGUAGAACGCUGAAGAGAGGAGCUUGCUCUUCUUGGAAGAGUUGCGAACGGGUGAGUAACGCGUAGGUAACCUGCCUUGUAGCGGGGGAUAACUAUUGGAAACGAUAGCUAAUACCGCAUAACAAUGGAUGACCCAUGUCAUUUAUUUGAAAGGGGCAACUGCUCCACUACAAGAUGGACCUGCGUUGUAUUAUCUAGUAGGUGAGGUAACGGCUCACCUAGGCGACGAUACAUAGCCGACCUGAGAGGGGGAUCGGCCACACUGGGACUGGGACACGGCACAGACGCCUACGGGAGGCAGCAGUAGGGAAUCUUCGGCAAUGGGGGCAACCCUGACCGAGCAACGCCGCGUGAGUGAAGAAGGUUUUCGGAUCGUAAAGCUCUGUUGUAAGUCAAGAACGAGUGUGAGAGUGGAAAGUCCACACUGUGACGGUAGCUUACCAGAAAGGGACGGCUAACUACGUGCCAGCAGCCGCCGUAA
rnacentral:rRNA from 1 species